AACCUAUGGUGAGGGCACAUUCUCAGUAAGUCUUUGGAUCUCUCCCAUUCAUCGUACAGUGUUUCUAAAUCCAUCUACAUAAAAGAAGAGAUAUUAUUACGUAAUUU
rnacentral:snoRNA from 1 species